rnacentral:rRNA from 1 species
UACGUAGGGCACAAGCGUUGUCCGGAUUUAUUGGGCGUAAAGAGCGUGUAGGCGGCCAGGUAGGUCAGCUGUGAAAACUCGAGGCUCAACCUCGAGACGUCGGUUGAAACCAUCUGGCUAGAGUCCGGAAGAGGAGAGUGGAAUUCCUGGUGUAGCGGUGAAAUGCGCAGAUAUCAGGAAGAACACCCGUGGCGAAGGCGGCUCUCUGGGACGGUACUGACGCUGAGACGCGAAAGCGUGGGGAGCGAACAGG